GCGGGCGCUCUGGACGGGCCCGGGGUGACGGCCUCCCCGCGCCAGGGGUUCGAGCCCCUACUGGGUCCCCGGGGGCGGGGUGGGGGGCUCUGUUGGGCAGGCCAUGGCAGCAAGGGGCAGGGAUCUCAAGGGUCCUGGGGUCAGUGGCAUCGUGAGGUCACACAGCGCCACGCGGGACCGUCUUCUCUUCAUGGACACAGAAAAGAUGUGAUGGCGCCAAAGGUCCUGACGGCAGAAAGGAAGACAAACACCAGAAACCUGCAUCACAGUGAACAUCGAAGCAGGAGCCACAUCAGAAUAGAUACAAGGAGGGGCCGCCGGGGGCCCAGGGUGUGACCCCCGGGUCCCGGGAUCGAGUCCCGCAUCAGGGUCCCCUGCAGGGAGCCUGCUUCUCCCUCUGCCUGGGUCUCUGCCUCUCGCUGUGUCUCAUGGAUAAAUGCAUAAAUAAAAUAUUAAAGAGAAAGAAUGAAUACAAGGAAUGGAAUCCAGUGAUGGGGACGCUGUAGCCCAACCUGAGGAAUUCCGAUGCCCAUGUGCACGCGGCCACGCCGUCGGCCCGGAGUGGACGGGACGCCAUCGCAAAGCGACCAGGCUGGGUG